GAUGAAGAACGCAGCGAAAUGCGAUAAGUAAUGUGAAUUGCAGAUUUCAGUGAAUCAUCGAAUCUUUGAACGCACCUUGCGCCUUGUGGUAUUCCACAAGGCAUGCCCGUUUGAGUAUCAUUAAAUCAUCAACUCUAAAACCUUUGUGGUUUUUUUAGAGCUUGGUCUUGAGGGUUUUGCAGGCUUUUUUUUUUUCGAGUCUGCUCCCUUUAAAUUCAUUAGCGAGACUUCCCUAUGCUGAACCGUCUCUUUGACGUGAUAAUUAUCUGCGUCGAAUUUUGGUUCUCGUUGGGCUUGCUUCUAAUCGUCUGUUAAAGACAAAACGGAUUUGGGUGCAUAUAUGCGCCUUUUUCCAAAACCUUUUUUGAUCUCAAAUCGGGUAGGACUACCCGCUGAACUUAAGCAUAUCAAUAAGCGGAGGA
rnacentral:misc_RNA from 1 species